CACGGGGAUCCGGGGCGUGGGACUCGGGCCCCGGCCUGAGUCUUAGGUAUCCGUAGCGCCCUCCUUCUUCCUCCUCUUCGCUGAAUACAGCUCACGGUAAGUACUGGUUCACACAGUUCGUUCCUUGGGUGCUCACUCGCUUUCUCUUUCUCCACAGGUAGCGGCGUAAGUACAGUUUUCCUCGGUCUCUCCUCGUGUUACCCACUCUCUCUCCUUUUCUCUCCACAGGUAUCAACUUGGGCACAAUAGCACAGUUAGUUUGCUUUGAAUGGCUCUCACCUCUGGGCUGAACACAGCGUACUGUAAGUACAGGUUUCCUCUGUUUCUCCUUGUGUUACUCACUCUCUCUUUCCUUUUCUCUCCACAGGUAUCAACUUGGGCACAAUAGCACAGUUAGUUUGCUUUGAAUGGCUCUCACCUCUGGGCUGGACACAGCGUACUGUAAGUACAGGUUCCCUCUGGUUCUCCUUGUGUUACUCACUCUCUCUUUCCUUUCCUCUCCACAGGUAUCAACUUGGACACAAAGCACAGUUACUCUGCUUUGGAUGGCUUUCACCUCUGGGCUGGACACAGCGUACCAUGCUAUCUCCGGAGAUCUGAAGCACGCUCACAACAUAUACUGUACUGAACUAGGCUAGGACCAGCAGUCUCCUUGUCCUCCCGCGACGAAGUGCGUGAAGGCGGGGGUUUAUCUGACAGGACACACGGCAAUACACAGCAGCCCACAGCAAUAUACAACACCACGUCAAAAUUAUAGGUUUUCACAGCACGAAGACUCACCCACCACACUCAGUGUACGAAAAGGACACCCGUCUUCCUUCACUUCGCUUGGUUCGGAUCUGGCGAUGGAAUAUGCGGCCUAGCUAGUGAUGUCGUCGUUGUGACUACUUCAAUAAGUAUUCCUUCGGCUCUCCCACCACGCUAUAUUAGGGGUAGGGCCGCCCUCCUCCUCCUGGAGAGAUCUACACAACGCCAGGUCAAUAUACAGGGCACUUUCGACUGGCUCUUAGUACUCACAUCAAUGCCG
ensembl:lncRNA